UAAGCGUAAUUUUGCAGUUGUCAGUUUUCUAAAUGAAGUCUGGAUAGUCUGCUGAGUUUGUGUCAUGGAGCUUUAUGCUGUGUGACUGAUGGAAGUGGAUAUAAAAUGAUCUUUGGAAGUGGAACCAGAUUAACCAUUGAACCCGGGGAGGAUUACAGCCCGUCCUACUACAAAGUGUCAAAUAAUGAGACCACUGCAUGUCUGGCCACUGGUUUCAGCCGAGUCAAUGCAACGCACGACCAUGAAAGCUAUGAAAAUAAAUUUAGUUUGAUAGAGUCCGUUCGGAUAUCAGAAGACUCUCUGUACAACGCGGCUGUGUUGCUAGAUGAUGAUGGAGGAAGAUGUGAGGAAAGCGGUACCCAGUCUCAACCUUGUAUAGCUCAGGAGCGAGAUCAGAAGGUGAACCUCAUGUCUCUGACCAUCCUGGGACUCAGACUGCUCUUCCUCAAGACCAUCGUCUUCAACGUACUGAUGACUCUGAGGCUGUGGAUCAGUCAAUGAACUCGGCAGAACUUCACCAGAAAAACGAAUUCACAAACGGCUCUCUGAUCAGUCAGAUGAAACAUGGAGUCGUCGGUCCGCUGCAUUUCUGAUACUUCUGAAUCCUGUGAGACAACACGUAUAAAAAUCACGUCGCCUGUUCAUCAUGCACCUGUUAAUAUCAUCAUAUUGUCGCCACACAGAGGUUAUCCUGUAAUACAUGUAGUGUUUAUUCAUUUGUAGAAGUUUAACGGUUUUUUGGUCAUAUUGUCAGUGAUGUUGUUUUUUGAUGAAGGAGUUUUUACUCUUUCUGUCCUGCCGAUGUAAAUAUCACAGUUAGACGUCCCGCUUUCAGUAUUACACUCCAGAAAACCUGUGUGACGUUGUUAAAUAAAGUUUGUAAA